GCAGUUUCCGUUCAUUUUCUUUGGAGAGGUUGCACAUAUUGAAAUGGAAUUUGGUAUACAGAUUAGUCAGGUGAAUAUCUAGUUAUGCCCUUUUGGACUUAGAAAAAUUCCAAUUUGUGGGGGAGGGAGGCAUAAGUGUUUUACAAACAUCUCUUGUUUAUAAAUAUGUUUUAAUUAGCCUGAAAGAUACUGAAGGACAGUUUAUUAUAGUGUAAUUCAUAUAACUUUCAGUGUCAAAAUGUCUUAAGUUUAAUGCUAAAUGUUGGGAUGAUAUUAUUGUAAUUGACCUCAGAUACUGAUUUCAUUAUUUCCCAACUGCUCUAGUCUUGGAAUCAAUGUGUACACCAAAACUUCACUGUUAUAUCAUGAUCAUCAUUUGUCAUAUCGUUUACAUGUAUGUCAGUGGCCAAACCACAGUGCCAUGAUAUUUCCUAUGGUUGGAUUAUUGCCAGUGCAUAACUUGAAACCAAAUAAACAAAUAACUUCUUUUCAAUUGUAAUUACAAUGUUUGUUAAAUUGUUAUAGAGAGAAAAAAGACAGAAAAGGUCACAAUUCCCUAAUAAAGAUAAAAUCUUUAAAAAAAAGAAAAAACAUGUACAUGUGUAGUUUCAUUUUUUUUCUUUGUUAAUCAAAUAUUUAUUUCAAAGUCACAUAUAUAGAAAUGUAAUUUUGAGUGAAUAAUCUUUGUCAAUAAGAGGAAAAUUUGGCUGUUUUUUACAUUUACAGUUUUUAUUCCUGUUUUCAUUGAUUUGAGUACAUUUCUGUUUAGAGUAUACAUUAUUGUGCAAUAAUAUAGACAUGUGAGUUGUACAUUUUAAAUAUUCUAGAUUAGUAUUAAUAGAUACUUAAUAUAUGUUUGUUCUAACUAAAUGAAUUUGUGCAAGGGGAACACAGAUUGAUAUGAAACCAGACAAGAAAUAUCUUGAUGACUAUUUCAACAUGUUUACUUGUAACACCUAUGUUUAUUUUUGUAUGGAAAAGUUUAAAGAAUUAGAUGGCAAGAUACAUUUGGAUAGUCAGUUAAUUUACUCAGACUUUUAAUGGCAUCUCUUUCAUUCACAUUCAUUGUUCUUUGUUCAUGGAUUGCAUAUCAUGAAUGGUGUACCUUGUUCUGAUGAAAUAAAGCUUACGAUCUCUGA